rnacentral:lncRNA from 1 species
AAAGAAUAAAAAGAAACUUUGUUGUUUAAUUUAAUUCAACUUAAAAUUAAUAUGAAAGAAAAUACGAAAAAUAUCUAUUUGAAAACCCCCCUUGUUUUUUUUAUUGUAUCUAAUUUUUUCUAUUUUCCUUCUUCAGUUUAGAAGAAAAGAAGAAAGAGUGACCUUAGAAUGUCAUUUACUUUUUUUCCUUUGAUUUUAAUCCAUUAGAUUUAGUAGUAGGAGUUUCCAUUCUUCUAAUAUAUACAACGAGAAGAAAGAGGGUAUCAGAUCACUCGAAACUGGUAUUCCGCCGUUUUUUUCUUUCCCCUUUUCUAUUUAUAAUUUUAAUAAAAAAAAGCUUUAUCCUUGUAAUUAAGCCAAGAAAGAACCUUUUUUGUGUCUAAUACAAGAACAACUAAUCAACUUUUUCUUCCAUCAAAUAGUAUUUAAUUUAUUACCGCUAUUAUUGUUACUGAACGACUAACCAAUUCCACUCUUUAAAAUUAAAUAAAAGGGAGUAGGUUCCAACAAAAAAAACAUCUUUGACAAUCACAAAAAAGUAUAUUUCUAGAUUUCACAUCUAAUUGAAUUGUAGAAAUAUGAUAAUUUCCUUCCUGAAUUAUUAGAAACCAAUCGGUCGGAUUACCAUUUUAAUUGAUUCUCAGUUUCGAGUAUAGUGCGAAACUAAUAAUAAUAGAAUAAUGUCGAGAACCCUAAUUUUAGAGUAUAAAAAAAUUCUUAUACUCUCAUUUAGUACAGUACAUCGAGACAACCAAACCAACAAGCAAAGAAGAAAAAAAUUAUCUAGUCCUUAAUCUCGCCACUUAUUGUGAAAUUGAAUUGCUGUAUCAGAAGAAGGAUAGCUAUACUGGUUCGGUAUACUCGAAAGACACCCUUGGUACAAUAUUGACGAUCUAACAAAGAUUAAAUUUCAGUAAAUUUCUACUUACUGAUGAUUUCAUCUUUUAUGGAAUCGACCCCCUUUUUACUGUACAAGAAUAUGUGGAGUUCGACAUGUCUGGAAGCACAGGAGAACGUUCUUUUGCUGAUAUUAUUACCAGUAUUCGAUACUGGAUUAUUCAUAGCAUUACUAUACCCUCCCUAUUCAUUGCGGGGUGGCUAUUUGUCAGCACGGGUUUAGCUUACGAUGUAUUUGGAAGUCCCCGCCCAAACGAGUAUUUUACAGAGAGCCGACAAGGAAUUCCAUUAAUAACCGGCCGUUUUGAUCCUUUGGAACAACUCGAUGAAUUUAGUAGAUCUUUUUAGGAGGCUCAAAUGACCAUAGAUAGGACCUAUCCAAUUUUUACAGUACGAUGGUUGGCUGUUCACGGACUAGCGGUACCCACCGUUUCUUUUUUGGGAUCAAUAUCAGCAAUGCAGUUCAUCCAACGAUAAACCUAAUCCGAAUUAUAGAGCUACGACACAAUCAAACCCAAACGAACAAAAUGUUGAAUUGAAUCGUACCAGUCUCUACUGGGGUUUAUUACUAAUUUUUGUACUUGCUGUUUUAUUUUCAAAUUAUUUCUUCAAUUAAUAGAAGAAAAGGAAAUAGUAAGAAUUAUCUUAUCCCAGUCGGAAAGAUAUCAUUUCAUAAUUAUCUAUGACUGUUUAUGUCUCUAGCAUGACUACUUAAUAAAAUGUGGAGGAAAGUGGGAUAAAUGGCCGAUACUACUGGAAGGAUUCCUCUUUGGAUAAUAGGUACUGUAACUGGUAUUGCUGUGAUCGGUUUAAUUGGUAUUUUCUUUUAUGGUUCAUAUUCCGGAUUGGGCUCAUCCCUGUAGUAAUUGGAUGAAUUGAGUUUUCGAAAUGAAAGUGUAAGAACUCAACAGGGAUCCACCCUUUCUUUGACAAAUUCGAGGGGGUCCCGUUGAGUUCUUAAUAAUUAAAAUAUUUUUUGUUCGUACAAAUGACUCACUAGAUAUUAGAUUGCUUUUUGCGAUUAAAAAAAAAACUCCAUUUAUUUCAUUGUUUUUGAUGAUGUUUUUGAAAAAUCAACUUCAUUAAUUGAUUCAAAACAUCUUUUACGGAAUAAUAUCUGUCAAUACUUUUUAUUUAAAAUUGAAAGAAAGAUAAAGUAAAAAAAAAGAAAGAAUAAAAGGAAUCGCUUGAUUUACUUUUUCUGGGUGGUGCAAUAUAAAUAUAAUGAAUUCUAUUGUAUUAUAUUGGAAUACAUUCUUAAUUAUAUUCUAUAUAUUUAUCGAUCAAAUAUCAUGUGAACCUAACCUUUCUUAAGUAUCCUAAUCGAAUCUUACUCUAAAUCGAUUUUAUUUUAGUAUCUAAUAGUAUCGAAUCAUGAUUGAAUUCUUUUUUCUAAACAAGUUAAUUGAAGACGUUUUGUAUUUGGUCAAUAAAAUUCCCUCUCUUUUUUGUGUUUGUCCACUACUCCACCACAUAUUAUAUGUCAUAAACAUAAAAGUUCUAAGUUGGAAAAAAUCGAAACUAAGAAUAGGAUUCUUUUAGGAAGGGGAUCCAGAAGUAUUAUUUUCUUAAAAUUUUGUAGAAUAUUUCGAUACAAGCAAGAAUGAAUCGGACGGACUCUAGGAAAAGAAAAAUAAUCCCUCCUAGAAUCCCGUUUUCCCCAUUUCGAAUUCUACUGUGCUUAAUAUGCUCUGCCUAUUUAUUUAUUUUUUAUCGAGCCGAAUUUUCGUAUAUUAGAAUAGAAAUCUAUUAAUAGAUUUCUAUUCUAAUAUACGAAAAUUCGGCUCGAUAAAAAAUAAAUAAAUAGGCAGAGCAUAUUAAGCACAGUAGAAUUCGAAAUGGGGAAAACGGGAUUCUAGGAGGGAUUAUUUUUCUUUUCCUAGAGUCCGUCCGAUUCAUUCUUGCUUGUAUCGAAAUAUUCUACAAAAUUUUAAGAAAAUAAUACUUCUGGAUCCCCUUCCUAAAAGAAUCCUAUUCUUAGUUUCGAUUUUUUCCAACUUAGAACUUUUAUGUUUAUGACAUAUAAUAUGUGGUGGAGUAGUGGACAAACACAAAAAAGAGAGGGAAUUUUAUUGACCAAAUACAAAACGUCUUCAAUUAACUUGUUUAGAAAAAAGAAUUCAAUCAUGAUUCGAUACUAUUAGAUACUAAAAUAAAAUCGAUUUAGAGUAAGAUUCGAUUAGGAUACUUAAGAAAGGUUAGGUUCACAUGAUAUUUGAUCGAUAAAUAUAUAGAAUAUAAUUAAGAAUGUAUUCCAAUAUAAUACAAUAGAAUUCAUUAUAUUUAUAUUGCACCACCCAGAAAAAGUAAAUCAAGCGAUUCCUUUUAUUCUUUCUUUUUUUUUACUUUAUCUUUCUUUCAAUUUUAAAUAAAAAGUAUUGACAGAUAUUAUUCCGUAAAAGAUGUUUUGAAUCAAUUAAUGAAGUUGAUUUUUCAAAAACAUCAUCAAAAACAAUGAAAUAAAUGGAGUUUUUUUUUUAAUCGCAAAAAGCAAUCUAAUAUCUAGUGAGUCAUUUGUACGAACAAAAAAUAUUUUAAUUAUUAAGAACUCAACGGGACCCCCUCGAAUUUGUCAAAGAAAGGGUGGAUCCCUGUUGAGUUCUUACACUUUCAUUUCGAAAACUCAAUUCAUCCAAUUACUACAGGGAUGAGCCCAAUCCGGAAUAUGAACCAUAAAAGAAAAUACCAAUUAAACCGAUCACAGCAAUACCAGUUACAGUACCUAUUAUCCAAAGAGGAAUCCUUCCAGUAGUAUCGGCCAUUUAUCCCACUUUCCUCCACAUUUUAUUAAGUAGUCAUGCUAGAGACAUAAACAGUCAUAGAUAAUUAUGAAAUGAUAUCUUUCCGACUGGGAUAAGAUAAUUCUUACUAUUUCCUUUUCUUCUAUUAAUUGAAGAAAUAAUUUGAAAAUAAAACAGCAAGUACAAAAAUUAGUAAUAAACCCCAGUAGAGACUGGUACGAUUCAAUUCAACAUUUUGUUCGUUUGGGUUUGAUUGUGUCGUAGCUCUAUAAUUCGGAUUAGGUUUAUCGUUGGAUGAACUGCAUUGCUGAUAUUGAUCCCAAAAAAGAAACGGUGGGUACCGCUAGUCCGUGAACAGCCAACCAUCGUACUGUAAAAAUUGGAUAGGUCCUAUCUAUGGUCAUUUGAGCCUCCUAAAAAGAUCUACUAAAUUCAUCGAGUUGUUCCAAAGGAUCAAAACGGCCGGUUAUUAAUGGAAUUCCUUGUCGGCUCUCUGUAAAAUACUCGUUUGGGCGGGGACUUCCAAAUACAUCGUAAGCUAAACCCGUGCUGACAAAUAGCCACCCCGCAAUGAAUAGGGAGGGUAUAGUAAUGCUAUGAAUAAUCCAGUAUCGAAUACUGGUAAUAAUAUCAGCAAAAGAACGUUCUCCUGUGCUUCCAGACAUGUCGAACUCCACAUAUUCUUGUACAGUAAAAAGGGGGUCGAUUCCAUAAAAGAUGAAAUCAUCAGUAAGUAGAAAUUUACUGAAAUUUAAUCUUUGUUAGAUCGUCAAUAUUGUACCAAGGGUGUCUUUCGAGUAUACCGAACCAGUAUAGCUAUCCUUCUUCUGAUACAGCAAUUCAAUUUCACAAUAAGUGGCGAGAUUAAGGACUAGAUAAUUUUUUUCUUCUUUGCUUGUUGGUUUGGUUGUCUCGAUGUACUGUACUAAAUGAGAGUAUAAGAAUUUUUUUAUACUCUAAAAUUAGGGUUCUCGACAUUAUUCUAUUAUUAUUAGUUUCGCACUAUACUCGAAACUGAGAAUCAAUUAAAAUGGUAAUCCGACCGAUUGGUUUCUAAUAAUUCAGGAAGGAAAUUAUCAUAUUUCUACAAUUCAAUUAGAUGUGAAAUCUAGAAAUAUACUUUUUUGUGAUUGUCAAAGAUGUUUUUUUUGUUGGAACCUACUCCCUUUUAUUUAAUUUUAAAGAGUGGAAUUGGUUAGUCGUUCAGUAACAAUAAUAGCGGUAAUAAAUUAAAUACUAUUUGAUGGAAGAAAAAGUUGAUUAGUUGUUCUUGUAUUAGACACAAAAAAGGUUCUUUCUUGGCUUAAUUACAAGGAUAAAGCUUUUUUUUAUUAAAAUUAUAAAUAGAAAAGGGGAAAGAAAAAAACGGCGGAAUACCAGUUUCGAGUGAUCUGAUACCCUCUUUCUUCUCGUUGUAUAUAUUAGAAGAAUGGAAACUCCUACUACUAAAUCUAAUGGAUUAAAAUCAAAGGAAAAAAAGUAAAUGACAUUCUAAGGUCACUCUUUCUUCUUUUCUUCUAAACUGAAGAAGGAAAAUAGAAAAAAUUAGAUACAAUAAAAAAAACAAGGGGGGUUUUCAAAUAGAUAUUUUUCGUAUUUUCUUUCAUAUUAAUUUUAAGUUGAAUUAAAUUAAACAACAAAGUUUCUUUUUAUUCUUUUUUUUUUUUUAUAUUAAUUAUUAUUUUUAUUAUUUUGUAUUCCUGAUAAUAUAUAAUUUUAUAAUUAUAUAGAAUAUAAAUAAUAAAUAUUAUAUAUUCUAUUUUUAAUACAAAAUUAAAAUAAUCUAAAAUUAAGAUGAAAAUAAUCUAAUUAGAUUGGUUUACUCAACUCACGAGUUGUUCAAUGAAUUUGUUGAUUUGAAAUCACAAGAUGAGUAGAUGUCACAGAUGAUGAAUUGCUUUCUUAUCUAUGUCACUCUAUUUUGCUUCGUCUGUAAUUGAUGAAUCACAAAUAUUCAAUUGUACCUUUCAAGUUUGUUUAUUUUACAAUUUUUCUCCUCAAAAUGGAAACUUAGGGAAGUGCUUUAUAAACAUAUGUAUGUAUAAAAAAAAAAAUUUCAUUUAGCUUCUUUAUGCCCACUAUAACUAGUUAUUUCGGUUUUCUACUAGCGGCUUUAACUAUAACCUCAGCUCUAUUUAUUGGUCUGAGUAAGAUACGACUUAUUUGAUUUGAAAUGAUAAAAUGAAUUGACAAUUUUUUUAUAUUCUAGAUAUUCCACAGUUCCUUAUCGUGUCCAUUUCCAAUUUCUUGGUCGUUGGGAUUCAUGGUCAAUAUAGAUUAAUAUUUAAGGAUAGAUAUUACCUCCCCCUUUCCCUUUCAAACAAAUUCAAAUGAUUGAAGUUUUUCUCUUUGGAAUCGUGUUAGGUCUCAUUCCUAUUACUUUGGCUGGAUUAUUCGUAACUGCAUAUUUACAAUACCGACGUGGUGAUCAGUUAGACCUUUGAUCAAUUAACACCUCUUUUGUUUAUUGACCUACUAUUUCUUUGUUUUAAUCCUAAUCCCAGAGGUCAAAUUCAGACUUUAGACUGUGGUUCAAAUAUUUCGCAGUGUCGUUCUGUCUGGAUCUAACAAGAAUGGAAUCACGCUCUGUAGGAUUUGAACCUACGACAUCGGGUUUUGGAGACCCGCGUUCUACCGAACUGAACUAAGAGCGCUUUAUUCUCAUAAAUAAUUUUAUGAGACCCCAAUACAUCUUGCAGGCAUAUACUAUAUCAAUAUAUCACAAUAUAUAUUGUGAUAUAUUGAUAUAGUAUAUGCCUGCAAGAUGUAUUGGGGUCUCAUAAAAUUAUUUAUGAGAAUAAAGCGCUCUUAGUUCAGUUCGGUAGAACGCGGGUCUCCAAAACCCGAUGUCGUAGGUUCAAAUCCUACAGAGCGUGAUUCCAUUCUUGUUAGAUCCAGACAGAACGACACUGCGAAAUAUUUGAACCACAGUCUAAAGUCUGAAUUUGACCUCUGGGAUUAGGAUUAAAACAAAGAAAUAGUAGGUCAAUAAACAAAAGAGGUGUUAAUUGAUCAAAGGUCUAACUGAUCACCACGUCGGUAUUGUAAAUAUGCAGUUACGAAUAAUCCAGCCAAAGUAAUAGGAAUGAGACCUAACACGAUUCCAAAGAGAAAAACUUCAAUCAUUUGAAUUUGUUUGAAAGGGAAAGGGGGAGGUAAUAUCUAUCCUUAAAUAUUAAUCUAUAUUGACCAUGAAUCCCAACGACCAAGAAAUUGGAAAUGGACACGAUAAGGAACUGUGGAAUAUCUAGAAUAUAAAAAAAUUGUCAAUUCAUUUUAUCAUUUCAAAUCAAAUAAGUCGUAUCUUACUCAGACCAAUAAAUAGAGCUGAGGUUAUAGUUAAAGCCGCUAGUAGAAAACCGAAAUAACUAGUUAUAGUGGGCAUAAAGAAGCUAAAUGAAAUUUUUUUUUUUAUACAUACAUAUGUUUAUAAAGCACUUCCCUAAGUUUCCAUUUUGAGGAGAAAAAUUGUAAAAUAAACAAACUUGAAAGGUACAAUUGAAUAUUUGUGAUUCAUCAAUUACAGACGAAGCAAAAUAGAGUGACAUAGAUAAGAAAGCAAUUCAUCAUCUGUGACAUCUACUCAUCUUGUGAUUUCAAAUCAACAAAUUCAUUGAACAACUCGUGAGUUGAGUAAACCAAUCUAAUUAGAUUAUUUUCAUCUUAAUUUUAGAUUAUUUUAAUUUUGUAUUAAAAAUAGAAUAUAUAAUAUUUAUUAUUUAUAUUCUAUAUAAUUAUAAAAUUAUAUAUUAUCAGGAAUACAAAAUAAUAAAAAUAAUAAUUAAUAUAAAAAAAAAAAAAGAAUAAAAAGAAACUUUGUUGUUUAAUUUAAUUCAACUUAAAAUUAAUAUGAAAGAAAAUACGAAAAAUAUCUAUUUGAAAACCCCCCUUGUUUUUUUUAUUGUAUCUAAUUUUUUCUAUUUUCCUUCUUCAGUUUAGAAGAAAAGAAGAAAGAGUGACCUUAGAAUGUCAUUUACUUUUUUUCCUUUGAUUUUAAUCCAUUAGAUUUAGUAGUAGGAGUUUCCAUUCUUCUAAUAUAUACAACGAGAAGAAAGAGGGUAUCAGAUCACUCGAAACUGGUAUUCCGCCGUUUUUUUCUUUCCCCUUUUCUAUUUAUAAUUUUAAUAAAAAAAAGCUUUAUCCUUGUAAUUAAGCCAAGAAAGAACCUUUUUUGUGUCUAAUACAAGAACAACUAAUCAACUUUUUCUUCCAUCAAAUAGUAUUUAAUUUAUUACCGCUAUUAUUGUUACUGAACGACUAACCAAUUCCACUCUUUAAAAUUAAAUAAAAGGGAGUAGGUUCCAACAAAAAAAACAUCUUUGACAAUCACAAAAAAGUAUAUUUCUAGAUUUCACAUCUAAUUGAAUUGUAGAAAUAUGAUAAUUUCCUUCCUGAAUUAUUAGAAACCAAUCGGUCGGAUUACCAUUUUAAUUGAUUCUCAGUUUCGAGUAUAGUGCGAAACUAAUAAUAAUAGAAUAAUGUCGAGAACCCUAAUUUUAGAGUAUAAAAAAAUUCUUAUACUCUCAUUUAGUACAGUACAUCGAGACAACCAAACCAACAAGCAAAGAAGAAAAAAAUUAUCUAGUCCUUAAUCUCGCCACUUAUUGUGAAAUUGAAUUGCUGUAUCAGAAGAAGGAUAGCUAUACUGGUUCGGUAUACUCGAAAGACACCCUUGGUACAAUAUUGACG